CUCUUGGUUACAGAAAAAGUGGUUUUGGAUAUGCACAGUGACCCUGUGAAGAUUAACAUAUGCUCAGCCACUUUGAGUUGUGUUCUUGGUCUGCUUAGAAUUGACCAGUACAACACGGCCUGGCCUCAGGGACCCCAGUUCUUGUGGGACCUGCCGGCUGUAGAUGAAUGGAACUCCUCAGCACCACGUCUCUCAGCCUCUUCUCUCUUUGUGACUGCUGCUCUCAUCCCCUGACACCUGGAUUCAUCCAACAGCCUCUUCCUUCAGAGGCUACCACGAUCCACUGCACACACAGCUGUGGGAAUGAAGCUACCCGGAGAUGGCUGAACCUAGAGAAUCUAAUUGAGUUUGGAGUCUUCCUGGAAUAACUAAAAGAACAGUCACCAACCGGACGACCUGUGGACAUCUAGGAGAUAAAGGCUGUAACACUUGACUUGGGG
rnacentral:lncRNA from 1 species